rnacentral:lncRNA from 1 species
GUAACCACUAGAUUUUUGAGUUGGCUUACAAAUACGCAUUGCUUUGCUCAGAUUUCUCCAUGAUACAGCAUCUUUCUCCAGGCUCCUCAGACUGCUUAUGCUCAUGUCCUCGUGUACCAAGAGUAAAAGAACACAUUAUUUUAAGAUGGGAAUCAGCUUGGUAUAGAGCAGUCCCAGGUCAAAAAGUGUGUGACAGUAGCCAACGCGGGAUUCACGGAUGGACGAAGCUGAUAGGAAUCUUGCGAGUGAGAUGGAGGUGAAGCAUGAAAAAGCAUGAAGCGGGACGAAGAGUUCUCUGGCACAAGCUCCUACUGUGUGUGUGCAGUUCUGUGGUGAGCAAGGUAAGAUUGAC